rnacentral:rRNA from 1 species
AGUUUGAUCCUGGCUCAGGAUGAACGCUAGCUACAGGCUUAACACAUGCAAGUCGAGGGGCAGCAUUGGAGUAGCAAUACUUCAGAUGGCGACCGGCGCACGGGUGAGUAACACGUAUCCAACCUGCCGCUUACUCGGGGAUAGCCUUUCGAAAGAAAGAUUAAUACCCGAUGGUAUAAAGAGUUCGCAUGUUCUCUUUAUUAAAGAAUUUCGGUAAGCGAUGGGGAUGCGUUCCAUUAGAUAGUUGGCGGGGUAACGGCCCACCAAGUCUACGAUGGAUAGGGGUUCUGAGAGGAAGGUCCCCCACAUUGGAACUGAGACACGGUCCAAAUCCUACGGGAGGCAGCAGUGAGGAAUAUUGGUCAAUGGACGAGAGUCUGAACCAGCCAAGUAGCGUGAAGGAUGACUGCCCUAUGGGUUGUAAACUUCUUUUAUAAGGGAAUAAAGUGAGGGACGUGUCCCUUUUUGUAUGUACCUUAUGAAUAAGGAUCGGCUAACUCCGUGCCAGCAGCCGCGGUAAUACGGAGGAUCCAAGCGUUAUCCGGAUUUAUUGGGUUUAAAGGGAGCGUAGGUUGACAUAUAAGUCAGCUGUGAAAGUUUACGGCUCAACCGUGAAAUUGCAGUUGAUACUGUAUGUCUUGAGUGCACAAGAGGUGGGCGGAAUUCGUGGUGUAGCGGUGAAAUGCUUAGAUAUCACGAAGAACUCCAAUUGCGAAGGCAGCUCACUGGGGUACAACUGACACUGAGGCUCGAAAGUGUGGGUAUCAAACAGGAUUAGAUACCCUGGUAGUCCACACAGUAAACGAUGAAUACUCGCUGUUUGCGAUAUACAGUAAGCGGCCAAGCGAAAGCAUUAAGUAUUCCACCUGGGGAGUACGCCGGCAACGGUGAAACUCAAAGGAAUUGACGGGGGCCCGCACAAGCGGAGGAACAUGUGGUUUAAUUCGAUGAUACGCGAGGAACCUUACCCGGGCUUGAAUUGCAGAGGAACAUAGUUGAAAGAUUAUGGCCGCAAGGUCUCUGUGAAGGUGCUGCAUGGUUGUCGUCAGCUCGUGCCGUGAGGUGUCGGCUUAAGUGCCAUAACGAGCGCAACCCUUAUCAUUAGUUACUAACAGGUCAUGCUGAGGACUCUAGUGAGACUGCCGUCGUAAGAUGUGAGGAAGGUGG